GUAAUACAUGCAUCAUCUAUGAGGAAAUGAUGAAUGUGUAAAACCUAGGGACCAAGAUAAGGCUGAGACUCCAUAACUAAGCAAGUAGCAACAUGUCGUAUGGUAAUGGGGCGUUGUGUCACAGAUGUCAUGAAGGAUUCGGCGCCAAUGAGGAAAUAGUCAACUCCAAUGGAGAGGUGUGGCACACCCAGUGUUUUGUGUAAGUCCAUAUCUCUGACCCCCCCUUUUUGCUUUACUUCUGAAGAUCUGAAGAUAAAUAGCUUGUUAGAAUUCAACAUUAGAUAGGCUAGGAUAUAUUGUGAAUGAUAGACAAACACUUUUUUAUUUGUUACUUUCAUUUUAAUACAUGUAUGUUGAAUUGACUUCCUGGGGAUUUCCUAUACUCAGAAAAUAAACAAAUGUUUAUAAUUACCGGUACAUGCACAUGAUAUUUGAAUAUGUACAAUGUAGGCUUCAAAAAAGUGUCUGUCUAUUUUAAUCAAAUAUUCCCCAUGCAUGCAUGAAACAAGUCUAUACAUGAGAUUGUAAUUUGUAUUUACAUCUGCAGUUGAUUAGCUUAGGAAAACAAAAAAUGGUCCAUUACUGAUGAAUUUUUCCCUUGAACAAAG
rnacentral:misc_RNA from 1 species